rnacentral:rRNA from 1 species
GAUGAACGCUGGCGGCGUGCCUAAUACAUGCAAGUCGAGCGAACAGACGAGGAGCUUGCUCCUCUGACGUUAGCGGCGGACGGGUGAGUAACACGUGGAUAACCUACCUAUAAGACUGGGAUAACUUCGGGAAACCGGAGCUAAUACCGGAUAAUAUAUUGAACCGCAUGGUUCAAUAGUGAAAGACGGUUUUGCUGUCACUUAUAGAUGAUCCGCGCCGCAUUAGCUAGUUGGUAAGGUAACGGCUUACCAAGGCAACGAUGCGUAGCCGACCUGAGAGGGUGAUCGGCCACACUGGAACUGAGACACGGUCCAGACUCCUACGGGAGGCAGCAGUAGGGAAUCUUCCGCAAUGGGCGAAAGCCUGACGGAGCAACGCCGCGUGAGUGAUGAAGAUCUUCGGAUCGUAAAACCCUGUUAUUAGGGAAGAACAAAUGUGUAAGUAACUAUGCACGUCUUGACGGUACCUAAUCAGAAAGCCACGGCUAACUACGUG